rnacentral:rRNA from 1 species
CCUACGGGAGGCAGCAGUGAGGAAUAUUGGUCAAUGGCCGGAAGGCUGAACCAGCCAUGCCGCGUGAAGGUCAGUGCCCUAUGGGCGUUAAACUUCUUUUGUGCGGGAGCAAUAAUGGUCACGUGUGGCCAGACGAGAGUACCGUACGAAUAAGCAUCGGCUAACUCCGUGCCAGCAGCCGCGGUAAUACGGGGGAUGCAAGCGUUAUCCGGAUUUAUUGGGGUUAAAGGGUACGUAAGCGGUGAGUUAAGUCAGCGGUGAAAUGCCCCCGCUCAACGGGGUGAAGUGCCAUUGAUACUGCCUUGCUUGAAUGCGGAUGACGUGGGAGGAAUGUGUGGUGUAGCGGUGAAAUGCAUAGAUAUCACACAGAACACCGAUUGCGAAGGCAUCUCCCGAAUCCGCGAUUGACGCUGAUGCACGAAAGCGUGGGUAUCAAACAGGAUUAGAUACCCCGGUAGUC